GAUGAACGCUGGCGGCGUGCCUAAUACAUGCCAGUCGAGCGAACAGACGAGGAGCUUGCUCCUCUGAUGUUAGCGGCGGACGGGUGAGUAACACGUGGAUAACCUACCUAUAAGACUGGGAUAACUUCGGGAAACCGGAGCUAAUACCGGAUAACAUGUUGAACCGCAUGGUUCAACAGUGAAAGACGGUUUUGCUGUCACUUAUAGAUGGAUCCGCGCCGCAUUAGCUAGUUGGUAGGGUAACGGCUUACCAAGGCAACGAUGCGUAGCCGACCUGAGAGGGUGAUAGGCCACACUGGAACGGGGACACGGACAAGGCUCCUGCGGGAGGCAGCAGUCGGGAAUCUUCCGCAAUGGGCGAAAGCCUGACGGAGCAACGCCGCGUGAGUGAAGAAGGUCUUCGGAGCGUAAAACUCUGUUAUUAGGGAAGAACAAAUGUGUAAGUAACUAUGCACGUCUUGACGGUACCUAAUCAGAAAGCCACGGCUAACUACGUG
rnacentral:rRNA from 1 species